AUUGAACGCUGGCGGCAGGCCUAACACAUGCAAGUCGAGCGAUCGGCGGACGGGUGAGUAAUGUAUGGGGACUGCCCGAUAGAGGGGGAUAACUACUGGAAACGGUAGCUAAUACCGCAUACUAUCGGAUAACCCAUAUGGGAUUAGCUAGUAGGUGAGGUAAUGGCUCACCUAGGCGACGCUCCCUAGCUGGUCUGCGAGGAUGAUCAGCCACACUGGGACAGAGAAACGGCCCAGACUCGUACGGGGGCAGCAGUGGGGAAUAUUGCACAAUGGGCGCAAGCCGGAUGCGGCCAUGCCGCGUGUAUGAAGAAGGCCCUAGGGUUGUAAAGUACUGUAAGUAGGGAGGCGUUACCGACAGAAGAAGCACCGGCUAACUCCGUGCCAGCAGCCGCGGUAAUUC
rnacentral:rRNA from 1 species